UUGCUGAAGAGAUUUGAACAUUUUUGAAUGACUUUUUUGACUGACUCAGUCCUUUUCACUCCUCUUUGACAUCGACAGAAAUCAAUGGGUUUUCUUGGACUCUGGUGACAAUGAUCCAGAGCUAUUUUGAAGCAACAGUUCGGAUGCCAGACUACACUACAGUAUCUGAAACACCACCAUGCGGAAAACAGCUAAGUCCCAUGUUAUCAUGGGGCAAUUGAGACCAGUUUGAACUUAACAGCUAUUAAAAGGUCAAGCACUACAGUUGUGGUGCAAGUCGAACUCUCUAAAGUUCCUGUGGCAAGCUACGGAGGUCACCAGUCAGCGUGUCCGACAGGCCCAUGAAUAAGAGAGGACUGUUAUCUGUCCCGCCUCACCUGGGGACAUUGCAAGAUGAAACAAAUGGGGAAAGUCAGCACAGAUCAAUAAAGGAUGGACACUUGAAAGACUUUGCAGAGGAAGCAGAGAUGCUGCGCGAUUGCCCUUUCAGCUCAGCUCAGCCUCACAACGACAUUGUUACGUCGGCCUCAAUAAGAAAUGCGAUUGGAGGCCACAGGUGAGGACAGAGAUAAUGACCUCAUUCCUCUUCUCUGUGUCCAAGAUGUGUUCUUUCCAGGCCGGACAAUUCAUCACACCAUCUCUUCAUCUCUGGCGCCCAUCCUUUCGCUCAUCCUCCUUCCUGUUGGUCAAAAAGCCAGAAGUCACAUCUUCAUCCACAGUGACAUGACCACUCACACAUAAAGAAAUGUUCUCUUGUGUGUGUGUGUGUGUGUGUGUGUGUGUGUGUGUGUGUGUGUGUGUGUGUGUGUGUGUGUGUGUGUGUGUGUGUGUGUUUGACGCCUCUGGCACAUGAUGCAGUCCGAUGGGACCUUUAAAGUCCAAAUCCCUCCGUUCAGGGUUGCUGAACUAUUUCUCCCAAAUGAACUAAAACAAUCAUUUAUUAGCUUCUAGAUUUUCUCCUCAAUCACCAAAUGCAUGUAACCACAUAUAGAUUACAAAUUUGGUUGUUUGUUAACAGUUGCCCUCCGAUUUGACUGUCGACCUGCUCAGAGUGUGCUCUGCCUCUGGCCAAAAGUCAGCUUGGAUAAGAUCCAGCUUAUCUGUGAUCCUGAAAAGGACAAAGAGUUGACAAUGCAUGGUUGGUAUACCUGUACGCUUCCAUUUUAUCAUUCUCACCAGUGUCCAAAUAACUUUACAUUAUAACAAUACACUCACAUUAGAACAACAAAGGCUGUGUAUGAACAUCCCCCUAACCUCAUAUUCAUUAUAUAAUCCCACACGAGUAACCAACAUAUUAAUUUCCUCAGCUAACUACUUGCUCCUCAUCACAUAUCACGUGGCGAAUUAAGAUCUCCGACUAAUUAUUGUCAAUAACAAAUAUUGAUUUAAAACUGUA